GGCGGGGGUCGAGACGCUUAAAGGGACCGGUCCCCAAAGAGGAGAGAUAUUUAAAGGUGCAGGCUGCCGGGCUGUCGCCGGCCAGGGGGGGCCGAGCUCGGCGCGCGGGAGACCUAUGUAAAGUGGUAGGUGCUCGGGAGACCAGGACGCUUUAAGGAGACCAGAGCCAAGCUUGUGAAGAGGCUGGGAUGGGGUGAGAACACGACCGUCCGUCGAAGGCAGGGAUAAAGGAGUCGCUUGUCAAGGGCCCGGCGAGGUCUCCCUCUAAGGAAAAAAGAACGUGCACUCCUGCUCUCCCCCAAUGUCCUUUCUGGCUCCUCCAGGUUCCCUUGACCCCGGACCCCCCUGUUCCCAGGCUAUGGCCCCCAGUGCCCUGUAGACCUGGCGCGACUCCCGUGCUUUCGACCCCCAUUUGGGGCCCUGGGUGGCUACUGGAGGGCCUUGCAGAGGGGCAGAGAAGGCAGGACCAUGGCAUCUAGGGCCUCUGAACCUCCCUCAGGGCGCAGCGUGACGGCGGGCAUCAUCAUUGUUGGAGAUGAGAUCCUCAAGGGACACACUCAGGACACCAACACCUACUUUCUAUGCCGGACACUGCGCUCCCUGGGGGUCCAGGUGUGCCGGGUCUCUGUCGUACCCGACGAGGUGGCCACCAUCGCGGCAGAGGUCACUUCUUUCUCCAGCCGCUUCACCCACGUCCUCACGGCAGGGGGCAUCGGCCCCACUCACGAUGAUGUGACCUUUGAGGCGGUAGCACAGGCCUUCGGGGAUGAGCUCAAGCCGCACCCCGAGCUAGAAGCGGCCAUCCGAGCCCUCGGAGGGAAGGGCUGCGAGAAGCUGUCCGUAGUGCCCUCCUCUGCCCGCCUGCAUUACGGCACAGACCCUCACACGGGCCGGCCCUUCAAGUUCCCGCUGGUCUCCGUCCGAAAUGUCUACCUCUUCCCAGGCAUUCCCGAGCUGCUGCGGAGGGUGCUGGAGGGGCUGAAGGGGCUGUUCCGAAACACAGCGGUGCAGUUCCACCUGCGGGAGCUGUACGUGGCCGCCGACGAGGCCUCCAUCGCCCCCGUGCUGGCUGAGGCGCAGGCCCACUUUGGGCGCAGGCUCGGCCUGGGCUCCUACCCCGACUGGGGCAGCAACUACUAUCGGGUGAAGCUGUCGCUGGACUCGGAGGAAGAAGGGCCGCUGGAGGAGUGCCUGGCCUACCUGACUGCCCGUCUGCCCCCGGGAUCACUGGUCCCCUACGUGCCCGACGCCGUGGGGCAGGCCAGGGAGGCUGUCUACCAGCUCGCAGAAUCAGGGUCUUCUCUGGGGGGGAAGGUGGCAGGCGCCCUGCAGACCAUUGAGACCGCCCUGGCUCAGUACGACCUCAGCCACCUUUGCGUGGGCUUCAAUGGAGGCAAGGACUGCACGGCCCUCCUGCACCUCUUCCACGCGGCCGUGCAGAGGACACGCCCCGAUACUCAGGAGCCCCUCCAGAUCCUGUACAUCCGCAACAUCUCCCCCUUCCCCGAGCUGGAGCAGUUCCUACAGGACACCAUCAAGAGGUAUAAUCUGCAGGUGCUGGAGGCCGAGGGCCACAUGAAGCAGGCCCUGUGUGAGCUGCGGGCCCGGCACCCCCGGCUGGAGGCCGUCCUGAUGGGCACCCGCCGCACCGACCCCUACUCCUGCAGCCUCCACCCCUUCAGCCCCACGGACCCUGGCUGGCCUGCCUUCGUGCGCGUCAACCCGCUGCUGGUAACGGGGAGGGGGCCGCAGCGCCUCCCGUCUCCCGACCCCUCCCGGGGCCCGCGUGAGGGACCCCCAUCACCCGAGGGAGGCUGUGCUGCUCGGCCAUUCAGCUUUCUGACCAUUCUGUAUGGAGCACCGAUUCAAUGGCUUGUGCUUUCUACCUUUAGGCCUGCGCUGCCCAGGAUGGCACCCACUAGCCUUGUAUCGAUACUCAAAUUACAACCUACUGAAAUGAAAGAGAGACCCCAAAGCGCUGAGUGGUGCGCUCAAAGUGUGACGAAUUCUGUGGUGUGUGUGUUAUAUCUUAAUUCGAAAAAUGAAAUACCAUUCAGAAUUCGCUUCUUCAGAGGCACUAACCCCAUUUCCAGCCGCGGCCACGUUAGACGGCCCAGCUGGAGACGCAGCGGGCUGCGUGGACUCCUGGACACAGCCACGUCUGUCCUGGAGCACGCCGGUCCCUGGGGGGUGGCUUGGGGGUGGAGGGAGGCGGGCAAAGGUUUCCGUUUUGCGUUUUGCGUUGUGUGGCCACACCCAGCAGGCCGUGCCGGAGAAUCCCAGAGAAUCCCGGAGAAUCCCACAGGAGGCCUCCCUCAGAGCCCGGGAAGCAGAAGAGCUCUAGGCGGGCCCCUGCCCAGGCGGCAGGCCGCGGUGUGGGAGGGGGGACUUUGUGACCCCACCCCACUCUGACCCCCAGGACUGGACCUACAGAGACAUCUGGGACUUCCUGCGGCAGCUGUUUGUCCCGUACUGUGUCCUAUAUGACCGAGGCUACACGUCGCUGGGGGGCCGCGAGAACACCGUGAGGAACCCGGCCCUGAAGUGCCUGAGCCCGGGGGGCCAGCCCACCUACCGGCCAGCCUACCUCCUGGAGAACGAAGACGAG